rnacentral:tRNA from 1 species
GGGGUUGUGGUCUAGUGGUAUGACAUCUUCUUAGCAUUGCUCUCCGAGCGGUCCUGAGUUGGAGAAGGUUCUGGGUUCGAUUCCCAGCUACUCCA